UCCAGAAAUGCAAUCCUCGCCGAUAUUGGAGAUCGACCAGUAGUUCUUGCUGGUGAUGGGCGCUGUGACUCACCAGGGUUCAGUGCAAAAUAUUGUGUGUACUCUCUUCUGGAUAUUGCCACACGAAAAGUUGUAGACGUUCAAUUUGUUGACAAGAGAGAGAGACUGAACUGAAAAAAUCACUUAGGAUGGAGAAACUUGGACUGCAGAGAGCUUUGACAUCUAUACAAAAGAAAAUCAAAGUCCUAGAAUUAGUCACAGAUGCAUCUAUUUCUAUUUCUGCAAUGCUGGAAAGAGAUGAAACUUAGACACUUAGUGCAUUCUUUGGAUGUUUGGCAUAAAGCCGAAAAAUUAUCAAAGGUACUACCUGAGGCAUCAAAGAAACGAGAACUGGCUGAACUCGGACCCUGGAAAAGAUCCAUAGUAAACCAUUUUUGGUGGAUUGCCAACAAGCAAAAGGAGAUGUAGAGCGGCUAAAGACGAGAGUACAUACACACUAUGGAUGGUAGAAAGGCGGUAGAAAGGUGGGCAGGUAGGACAGCAACUGACCCACAAAAGGUAUGCUCAGGAUCCAGUCACCUGUUGAAACUUUCUCUGGCACUUUCGCAGCAGACGUAUUAAAACAAUAAACUACAGGAAGAUAUGACUGCCACAAGUACCAAGAGUCUGUAUUCUUGUGUUUUGCUUGGUGUUGUCUUGUUUUGCAGUCUAUGAUGGGUGCCAGCUGUCAACAAGAAAUAUGUAGAGCGUUUAAAGGCAAAUCAUGAAUGCAAACUCAAAAUUGAUGGCAGACUAGCACAGUAUAGUGCUGUAUAUAAACGUCUUAUCCAGACAUGAAGGACCAGUAAGUAGUACUUCACUAGUGAUGGAUGGCAGACGGAUAAGGAAAGGGUCGUUGUUGUGUACCAGCUAGUGAAUAUCUAUAGGGUAAGUAUUCAAACCAGUCAGAAUUAUUACAUACUUGUGUUUCUUUCAGUUAGUGCCAAGCCAACAACAAGUUGCCUAGGGUCAAUUGACAUGAGAAUUGCAGUUAUUUGCUGUAGCUGAAUUAUACUGACAAUGACAUAAAAUUUCACAGUUUGCAUGCAUCUAACUUAUAAGAAUACACAACUACUACUA